rnacentral:ncRNA from 2 species
UUACAGGAAUAGGGGAGCGUUUUGCUGAGAGGAAUUAAUAUUCGACCCUUUAGCUGAUCCGGAUAAUACCGGCGUAGUGAAUUCUAUCCACUCAUUC